GACUUCUGGUUUAAUGUGCCUGGCCCGCGGCUCUUUAGGCUUGUGUGUGCCGGUGCGCGUUUACCAUCCUUCUGGGGAACGAGUCUACCCUUAACUGGGCCGGAUUCGGGAUCCAGAUCAUUUACUUUGAAAAAAUUAGAGUGUUUAAAGCAGGCUAUUGCUAUGAAUACAUUAGCAUGGAAUAAUAAUCUAGGACUUCGGUUCUAUUUUGUUGGUUUCUAUAACUGAAGUAAUGAUUGAUAGGGAUAGUUGGGGGUGCUAGUAUUCAGCGGCCAGAGGUGAAAUUCUCGGAUUCGCUGAAGACUAACUUAUGCGAAAGCAUU
rnacentral:rRNA from 1 species